GAAGUUUAAAAAUGGUCAAACAGUGUGCAUGGGGUACAUGCAACUCUGACACAAGGUAUCCUGAGAGGCUGGGCGACCAGGUGUAUUUUUUACACUUUAAACCACAUCUCAACCGAGAAAAGUGUCUCCUUUGGAUAAAGUUGUGUGGUAACGUUAGACCACAACAUCAACUCAACGUGAAUAAGAUUAACAA